CCCUUAGACGUUCUGGGCCGCACGCGCGCUACACUGACCAGUGCAACAAGCAUCCGUCCUUGGCCGACAGGCUCGGGCAAUCUUUGAACGCUGGUCGUGAUGGGGAUAGACUUUUGCAAUUUUUGGUCUUCAACGAGGAGUUCCUAGUAAACGCAAGUCAUCAACUUGCAUUGAUUACGUCCCUGCCCUUUGUACACACCGCCCGUCGCACCUACCGAUUGAAUGGUCCGGUGAAGCCUCCGGAUUGGCGCGCACCUCGGUGCCGCCGAGAAGUUGGCUAAACCUUACCAUUUAGAGGAAGGUGAAGUCGUANCA
rnacentral:rRNA from 1 species